UACGUAGGGUGCGAGCGUUAAUCGGAAUUACUGGGCGUAAAGCGUGCGCAGGCGGUUCGUUAAGUCAGCUGUGAAAGCCCCGGGCUCAACCUGGGAAUUGCGGUUGAAACUGGCGAACUAGAAUCUGGCAGAGGGGGUGGAAUUCCACGUGUAGCAGGUGAAAUGCGUAGAGAUGUGGAGGAACACCGAUGGCGAAGGCAGCCCCUGGGCUGAGCAUUGACGCUCAGGCACGAAGCGUGGGAGCAAACAG
rnacentral:rRNA from 1 species